CCCCAUCCCCAUCUCACUGCCCCCUUCAAGAUAUUCUACCUCUUUAGGCCGAACAAAUGUAGACCUUCCAUUAUUAGUUUAGUAUUUUACCUGCAAGUCCCAUCUCACUAAAAUUAUAAAACCAAACUGUAACCCAACUGCCUGGGGUACUCUUUCUCAAAAGCUCUCAAGACUGUUCCCUGGGCCAUGGUCACUCAUACUGGCUUAGAAUAAACCUCUUUAAAAUAUUUUACAGAGUUUGGGGUAUUUUUCCAUCAGCAGAUUACAGACUCAGGACAAGUAAUUUCUACUGAAUAACCAAAAGAAAAUACAUUUAGCAAACCAAGAAGCAUACUCUAUUAGCCAUGGCAUAAAAAUAGACAAACGUAAGCCAGCAGUGUUGCAGAACUUUCUUUGCUAAAAAUAAAGAGGGGGAACAAGUAGAGAAGUAAAGGAGGAAUAAUAAAUCUCAAUCACCAGGAAUACACCAUUUAAACUCUUUUCUGCAGCCUCCUCAGUUUUAUGUAAAAAUAAA
rnacentral:lncRNA from 1 species